CGACCCUGUGCGGGAGAGACCCCGACCAUGGUCGGGGCGCCGAAGGAGCAACCUCCCCGGAAUCUCUCAGGCACCCUGUACCGCACGGACGAG
rnacentral:ncRNA from 1 species